rnacentral:rRNA from 1 species
GAUGAACGCUGGCGGUAUGCUUAACACAUGCAAGUCGAACGGACUCUUCGGAGUUAGUGGCGGACGGGUGAGUAACGCGUGAGAAUCUGGCUUUGGGUUCGGGACAACCACUGGAAACGGUGGCUAAUACCGGAUGUGCCGAGAGGUAAAAGAGAAAUUGCCUGAAGAUGAGCUCGCGUCUGAUUAGCUAGUUGGUGAGGUAAAGGCUCACCAAGGCAGCGAUCAGUAGCUGGUCUGAGAGGAUGACCAGCCACACUGGGACUGAGACACGGCCCAGACUCCUACGGGAGGCAGCAGUGGGGAAUUUUCCGCAAUGGGCGAAAGGCUGACGGAGCAAUACCGCGUGAGGGAAGAAGGCUCUUGGGUUGUAAACCUCUUUUCUUAGGGAAGAACAAAAUGACGGUACCUAAGGAAUCAGCAUCGGCUAACUCCGUG